AUUUUCUUUUCUUUUGUUAUUAUUGUUUGUCUGCUCUUUCCUCCAAUCUUCUUGUUUCAAUAAUUAAUUGUGAUUCCAUUGUUUCUUUAAAAUUUCUCUGUGUAAUCAAAUUAUCAUCUAAUGAACGAUUCAAUUUUCAUUGAUUCUAAAAAGCUAAUCAACUUCUCAUCCAUUCCAAUUAAAUGUAAAUAAAACAUUUAAUUUAAUCAUUUUAUCCAUUAAUUUGUUGGUACAAAACAUAAAUCCAGUGUCUUCUGUUACUAAUUCAAUUUCAAUAACUGAUUUCAAGCUAUAAUGUGACAAUAAUACUACCAGCCAAUUAAAUCAACCAUAAAUAAUCCUGAUCAUAAUCAUCAUCAAGAUAAUCAACAACAAUCAAAACCUUAAAAAGAGUCAACAACGAGAAUGCUUGUAUCAUUAUAUCAAAAUGACAACAUAAAUUGUACAGAAUUAACUUCAUCUUUCCUCAACAAUUUACAAAAAAAACACUCACAUCAAGUUAAAGUUUGGGGAAAUGAAUCAACCGGAAGAUGUUCAAUAAUCUCAUCAUGAUGGAAUCAAUUUCCGAGUUUUGUCUUCAUUCUAACUAUAUGAUAAUUGAAAUGAAUUGAAGAAAAUCGAUAAUAUUUCAUAUUAUCAUCAUGUUUCUUUACAAUUUAUCUUCUCCUUGACUUAUUUCAACAACAUGAAAUUAUGAUGAUCAUCAUGUUAUGAGUAAUGAUCAUACGUAUGUGCAAAUUUCUUUUCACUCUUGAUGAUAUGAUGAAAGUCAAUAAACAGAAUGAAAAAGUUCAUGAUGUUCAUGAAGUUUUAUAAUGGAAAUUCAGAGAUUGGUUCUCAUCCAUAAUAAUUCUGGUAUCGGUGCUCAUGAAGAUUCAUAACUUAUACGUUUCUUUUUCAUGUAAUGAUUCCGACUUUAACUUAGGAACAAGAUGAUUCUCACUCAUUCUUAUCCCAAUGCUCAUCAAAAUCUUCCUGUUCUAUUGCAUGAUUUAUCUAAUAAUCUAAAAUUCCCUUCCUUGUUUACCCUGAAUACUAACAUGCUCAUUAUUUACCUUGAAAUUUCAUGAAAUUCGGAGGCUAUUUCUUGAUGUUGAUCAUUAUAAUUGUGAUCAAAUGUUGAAUUUCAACAAAAAAUUUAACUCUGAAUCCUUUGUUUGCUCAGUUGAAAAGCUCAUAUUCUGAACUUCCCCCUGAAAAAAAAGUACAUCAACUGAAGAGCAAGAAAAUCUCAUGAGAGAUGACAAUUUAAUCAUAUGAAAAUUAAGUUGAAAUGAUUGUUAUCAUUAAAUGUCAAUGGAUUCAAUUGUUUGUAAAGGAAAAAGUUUCUCAAAUAUUCCCAAUGAUUUACUCAUGAAAAUGAUGAUAAUGUUGAUGAGCCAAAAGUAAUCAAUUUGCUUAUUCAUAUUAACAUGAUAUAAAUAAUAGUCUAUAUUAUGAUAAGUCAAAUAUCUUGAAAUAACUCAGGGGAUUCAAUAUUUAUCUCUUCAACAGGAUUAUAAGGAUUUCAUGAUAAACUUUCACGAUUCCAAGUCAAUAUAUUUUUUCCGCCAUCGAUUCAGUCAUCAUCAUGGUCAUCGCACAAAUAAAUGUUGAUCUGACCCAAGAAAAUGAAUUCCAUUGGAUUGAAACUUUUCAAACAAAGAAAAGAAGAAAAAACUCUUCAGACUUUGUAUCUAAUAUUAUCUUCACCUGUCAUCAUCAUGAUGAUCAUGAACUUCUCUCUCUCUCUCUCCCUCUCUCCUCUGUCCAGAAUUAUUUGCUUCCAGAUCACAGAUUUAUCUUGUAAUAUUCAGUCUCAUGUUAACAUGUAAUGAAAAAACAAAAUUCUAUAACCUUGCAAAUCUUAUUACCUUAACAUUUUAAUCUUCCCCAUGAAUUCAUGAUAAUGUUCAUUGACAUUUCAAUUACAUGUGACUGAGGAAAAGUUCAUAUCAUGAAUACGAUGGUGGAAAUGUUCAACUUUCUUUAUUAUUUUUCCAAUAGAACAAAAAAAUAUUCUCAUUCCUAAUCUAAUCUGUAAUUCCCUGAUAUUCAUGGUAAUUUAUUAUUUAUAUAUUAUCAUCAUGUUCAAUUUUAUGAUACUUUCAAUUGUAAAAGUUGAUUGUGAUUAAAUUUUUGAUUAACCUUAGAAAAGGUAAAAAUAUGAAUU